GGCCUCAUGGUCUAGUGGGUAAGCAUCACCAACACCACAUCUCCUCAAUACACAUCUCUAACAUUCAUCCAGUAUGAUUCUUGCUUUGGGUUCUAAACUCAAACUUGCAAGAGGCCCCGCGUUCGAAUCGCGGUGGGGCCC